GCUUCUCACUAGAGACUGACAAAUACUGCA
rnacentral:piRNA from 1 species